GACGAACGCUGGCGGCGUGCUUAAUACAUGCAAGUCGAACGGAAAGGUCCCUUUGGGGGUCCUCGAGUGGCGAACGGGUGAGUAACACGUGAGUAACCUGCCCUUGACUUCGGGAUAACUUCAGGAAACUGGGGCUAAUACCGGAAAGGAAUCCUUGCUGCAUGGUGGGGGUUGGAAAGCUUCGGCGGUUUUGGAUGGACUCGCGGCUUAUCAGCUUGUUGGUGGGGUAGUGGCUUACCAAGGCUUUGACGGGUAGCCGGCCUGAGAGGGCGACCGGCACAUUGGGACUGAGAUACGGCCCAGACUCCUACGGGAGGCAGCAGUGGGGAAGAUUGAACAAUGGGCGGAAGCCUGAUGCAGCAACGCCGCGUGCGGGAUGACGGCCUUCGGGUUGUAAACCGCUUUCAGCAGGGGCGAAGCUUGUGGUGACGGUACCUGCAGAAGAAGCACCGGCUAACUACGUG
rnacentral:rRNA from 1 species